rnacentral:rRNA from 1 species
UACAGAGGUCUCAAGCGUUGUUCGGAUUCAUUGGGCGUAAAGGGCGCGUAGGCGGCGCGGCAAGUCGGGUGUGAAAUCUCGGAGCUUAACUUCGAAACUGCAUUCGAUACUGCCGUGCUUGAGGACUGGAGAGGAGACUGGAAUUUACGGUGUAGCGGUGAAAUGCGUAGAUAUCGUGAGGAAGACCAGUGGCGAAGGCGGGUCUCUGGACAGUUCCUGACGCUGAGGCACGAAGGCCAGGGGAGCAAACGGG